AAAUAUUUGCUAAGUGAUAAAGGAUGUAUUUGGACGUAGACAACCAGGAGGUUUGCUUAGAAGCAGCCAAGUUCCUUUAAAAAGUGCGUAAUAGCUUACUGGUCAAGUCCAUUUGCGCCGAUAAUGUAUGGGACUAAGCAUUUUGCCGAAGCUGUGAGUUAAACGGUAGGAGAGCGUUCUGUUUGGGAUGAAGUAGUGGUGUAAGCCUCUAUGGACUUAACAGAAGUGAGAAUGUCGGCUUAAGUAACGAAAAUACUGGUGAGAAUCCAGUACUCCGAAAACCGAAGGAUUCCUUUGCAAGGUUCGUCCACAAAGGGUUAGUCAGGUCCUAAAAUAAAGCUAAAAAGCGUAGUUGAUGGGAAACAGGUUAAUAUUCCUGUACUGCACCUAGUUUGGUUAAGGGUGACGAAAAAGGUUAAGGUCAGCCAGUAGUUGGUAUUUGGUUUAAACUUUUGAGGUGAUGAAGAAUAUUAGUAAAGGAUAUUCUGAGCUGAGAAGUGAACACUUUUUUACUACGGUAGAGAAGUGACCGAAAUCAUGUUUCCUAGAAAAACCCUAGUAAUUUCAUUAACUAGAAUGCACCUGUACCGUAAACUGACACAGGUCGGUGGGUAGAGCAUACUGAGGAGCGCGAGAUAACCCUUUUUAAGGAACUCGGCAAAAUAGCCUUGUAACUUCGGGAGAAAAGNUGCCUUGGCGAUGAGUCAAGGUUGCAGUGAUCAGAUCCAGGCGACUGUUUAUCAAAAACACAGGUCUCCGCAAAGUUGAAAUACUAUGUAUGGGGGCUGACGCCUGCCCAGUGCCGGAAGGUGAAGGAAACUUGUUAGCUUUCGCGAAGCUCGUGACUUAAGCCCCGGUGAACGGCGGCAGUAACUAUAACUGUCCUAAGGUAGCGAAAUUCCUUGUCGGGUAAGUUCCGACCUGCACGAAAGGCGUAACGAUCUGGAUACUGUCUCAAAAAGGGACUCGGUGAAAUAGAAUUAACUGUGAAGAUGCGGUUAACUUACACUUGGACAGAAAGACCCUAUGAAGCUUUACUGUAAUUUGAAAUUGAUUUUCGACUUUCUUUGCGCAGAAUAGGUGGGAGGCUUUGAUAUUUUCUUUUCGGGGAAAAAGGAGCCAUCAGUGAGAUACCACUUUAAGGGAGUUAAAAAUCUAAUUACGUUUCAUUAUAUGGACGUUUGACCAUUUCAGAUGGGCAGUUUUACUGGGGCGGUAGCCUCCUAAAAGGUAACGGAGGCGUACAAAGGUUUUCUCAAACUGGUCGGAAAUUAGUUUUGGAGUGCAAAGACAUAAGAAAGCUUAACUGUUAGACCUAUAAGUCGAGCAGUGACGAAAGUCGGUCUUAGUGAUCCGACGUUGCUUAAUGGGAAGGACGUCGCUCAACAAAUAAAAGUUACUCUAGGGAUAACAGGCUGAUCUCCCCCAAGAGUUCACAUCGACGGGGAGGUUUGGCACCUCGAUGUCGGCUCAUCGCAACCUGGAGCGGUAGUACGUUCCAAGGGUUGGGCUGUUCGCCCAUGAAAGCGGUACGUGAGCUGGGUUCAGAACGUCGAGAGACAGUUCGGUCCAUAUCCGGUGUAAGCGGUGGAGCAUUGAAAGGAACUUUUUCUAGUACGAGAGGACCGAAAAGGACACACCAAUGGUGUACCAGUUCUUGUGCCAACAGGAAAUGCUGGGUAGCUAUGUGUGGA
rnacentral:rRNA from 1 species